rnacentral:lncRNA from 1 species
CUAUCUAUUCUUCUCAAUCAGGAUCAGGUAACAACAUAAAGUUUAUGAUUUUAUAUAGUUAUAUCGCAUACUACCUCCGUUCUUAAAUAUAUAUCGUUAGCUGAUUUGCUUGUCAUCAAUGCCCUAUUUUCAUUCGAGAACGGAGGGAGAGCAAUAUCUUAUCUUUAGAUGUUUCUUUGAUCUCUUUCUAUAGUGCUAUUACAUACAGUUCUCCAUGUUAUGGCUUUGCACGUAAAGAGUUACAAGCACAGCAGUGAGAUAAGUGUUGUCAGACAUGCAUGCGAUGAUAUGAUGAGC